AGAGUUUGAUCCUGGCUCAGAUUGAACGCUGGCGGAAUGCUUUACACAUGCAAGUCGAACGGUAGAGGGGGCAACCCCUUGAGAGUGGCGAACGGGUGAGUAAUGUAUCGGAACGUGCCCAGUCGUGGGGGAUAACGUAGUGAAAAUUACGCUAAUACCGCAUACGAUCUAUGGAUGAAAGCGGGGGAUCGCAAGACCUCGCGCGAUUGGAGCGGCCGAUAUCAGAUUAGGUAGUUGGUGGGGUAAAGGCUCACCAAGCCAACGAUCUGUAGCUGGUCUGAGAGGACGACCAGCCACACUGGAACUGAGACACGGUCCAGACUCCUACGGGAGGCAGCAGUGGGGAAUUUUGGACAAUGGACGCAAGUCUGAUCCAGCCAUUCCGCGUGCAGGACGAAGGCCUUCGGGUUGUAAACUGCUUUUGUACGGAACGAAAAAGCUCUUAUUAAUACUAGGAGUCCAUGACGGUACCGUAAGAAUAAGCACCGGCUAACUACGUGCCAGCAGCCGCGGUAAUACGUAGGGUGCAAGCGUUAAUCGGAAUUACUGGGCGUAAAGCGUGCGCAGGCGGUUAUAUAAGACAGAUGUGAAAUCCCCGAGCUUAACUUGGGAACUGCAUUUGUGACUGUAUAGCUAGAGUACGGCAGAGGGGGAUGGAAUUCCGCGUGUAGCAGUGAAAUGCGUAGAUAUGCGGAGGAACACCGAUGGCGAAGGCAAUCUCUCUGGGCCUGUACUGACGCUCAUGCACGAAAGCGUGGGGAGCAAACAGGAUUAGAUACCCUGGUAGUCCACGCCCUAAACGAUGUCAACUGGUUGUUGGGUCUUCACUGACUCAGUAACGAAGCUAACGCGUGAAGUUGACCGCCUGGGGAGUACGGCCGCAAGGUUGAA
rnacentral:rRNA from 1 species